CAGCCGCCACGGUAAUACGUAGGUGGCAAGCGUUGUCCGGAAUUAUUGGGCGUAAAGGGCUCGCAGGCGGUUUCUUAAGUCUGAUGUGAAAGCCCCCGGCUCAACCGGGGAGGGUCAUUGGAAACUGGGAAACUUGAGUGCAGAAGAGGAGAGUGGAAUUCCACGUGUAGCGGUGAAAUGCGUAGAGAUGUGGAGGAACACCAGUGGCGAAGGCGACUCUCUGGUCUGUAACUGACGCUGAGGAGCGAAAGCGUGGGGAGCGAACAGGAUUAGAUACCCCAGUAGUCCCUGUCUCUUAUAC
rnacentral:rRNA from 1 species